CACAGGUGCUGCAUGGCUGUCGUCAGCUCGUGUCGUGAGAUGUUGGGUUAAGUCCCGCAACGAGCGCAACCCUUGUCAUUAAUUGCCAGCAUUGAGUUGNGCACUUUAAUGAGACUGCCGGUGACAANCCGGAGGAAGGUGGGGAUGACGUCAAGUCCUCAUGGCCCUUAUGGGUAGGGCUUCACACGUAAUACAAUGGCGCGUACAGAGGGUAGCCAACUCGCGAGAGGGAGCCAAUCUCAAAAAGCGCGUCGUAGUCCGGAUCGGAGUCUGCAACUCGACUCCGUGAA
rnacentral:rRNA from 1 species